GGAGAGGCGGGGUCCUGGCCUUUUCCGUCAGGCGCUCAGUGGGGCAGCCCCGGCCCGGGGGCCUCACAGGGAGCUUUAAAUAGCGAGGCCCCAGCGGGCACCAUGCCACGUGGAGCGGAGCGGGGCUGGCUGGGGCCACGUGCGGGCGGCUGCCCAGCAGUGACCCCGCCAUGGACGAGCGGUGGGGUGCCCAGGUGGGGCUGCUGUCCCUGGGGAGACCCCCCCACACACACCCUGUGAUCUGACCUGGGUGAGGCUGGAGGAAUGGCACUGUGAUAUGCCCUGCAGAGACCCAUGGGCACUGGGGUGCAGUGAGGCUCCUGGCUGGUGCUGUGCAGUGACCGUGGAGUGAUGCUGGGGUUGUGGGGGUAAAAAUUCCCCAAGACUGACCUGUCCCACACUUCUGCAAGGACCUCCCUGCAGCCCCCUAGACUGGUGCCAAGACCCUGUGUGUGCGGAGCCCUGCACUGGCCCAGGAAGUCAGGAUUCCUGGGUUCUGUUCCCAGCUCUCCCCCCUUGAGGCCUGCUGAUCGGGGGUGUGGGGUUCACCUACUCUCCCCAGCAGCUGCAGCUCCUGUCCUGCCAAUAAAGUUGUGUUGGUCUCUC